GGUCAGCUGACACAUCCCUGCCAUUCUCCGGCAGACCCUCCCUCCCAGACCCUCCUACUUCCUGGACAGCAUCCAUGUUGAAGGCAGCUUCAACAUGGAUGCUGUCCAGGAGGUGGGAGGGUCUGGGAGGGAGGGUCUGCCGGAGAUUGGCAGGGAUGUGUCAGCUG
rnacentral:miRNA from 1 species